GCUCCUCCCCUUCGCCGGAGCCCGCGGGCCGGGAGGGCGGGAUGAAGGGGAGGAGCGUCCUUCGUGCUAGCUUCUGGAAGCGGGAGAUGGGAGAGGUUUCUGGAGGAGAAAACGCACAGCGAGGUGGCCCGGAGAGGGCCACCCACAGCACCACAGCUGGCUCCUGGGCUCACGGAGGAAAGACCUCUGCUGGCCUGGACUUCGUGGGGCAAGGAGGCCCAGGACUCUGCCUACUCGGUGCUGAAAUCAAAGGACAAGUCCCUCCCCCCGCUUAGUGCCUUCUUUCCCCUAAUGAGACUGCCAGUAAUUGAGCACCAAGCGUUUUACUCAGCUGCCAUCAAAAUAAGGACUCAAUCAUUACAAAUAUCUAUAAUCAUUUACAAAUAAAAAUAUGCAUUUCCAAGUUUCAUAAAACGUACCCGUUAAAUCCACCAGAGGUACAGAGCAUGACCCCAGUACCAGCAAAUACGAUUUCUCCGUGCCACAGGCUGGCCUAAAACCAGCAUUAGCCCAGGUGAGCACUGAGCAUUGGCCUCACCAGCAAUCGAUCCGCUGUCGUUGCUUCACCUACUCAGAGAUUCGAUGGAGCUGAGCAAUGGAACUGUCUGUGCAGCAGGGCCAUCCAGGCAGAGGGCAAAAGCCGGGGACGCAGGGAAGGAGGAAAGAAGGAAGGAAGGAACUAAGGAGGGAAGAAGGAAGAAAGCAAGCAAAGUCCUCCUCACAUUUGUCAACUACUAAAUGUAGAAAGACUGACGGAACUAGCAAAGCACCAUUUGACAACUAGCAUAAUCAUCCAGGCAAGAAUCGUCAUGAAUGCUACAACUACCAGCGUGUAUACAUGGCCUUGACCUCAUAGCCCAAGAUGGCAGCUUCCAUAUUUCAAGUAAAGGAUGUAAGAAUAAAAAGCAAAUAGUCCGUA